GACGAACGCUGGCGGCGUGCUUAACACAUGCAAGUCGAACGGAAAGGCCUGCUUUCCCUUGUGGAUUGCGGGUACUCGAGUGGCGAACGGGUGAGUAACACGUGAGUGAUCUGCCCCCAACUUGGGUAUAAUCCUGGGAAACUGGGUCUAAUUCCCGAUAGGACUGCAGGGUGGUGCCUGUGGUGGAAAACGAUUUUCUAGUGGUUGGGGAUGAGCUCGCGGCCUAUCAGCUUGUUGGUGGGGUAAUGGCCUACCAAGGCGGCGACGGGUAGCCGGCCUGAGAGGGUGGAGGGGGACAUUGGGACUGAGAUACGGCCCAGACUCCUACGGGAGGCAGCAGUGGGGAAUAUUGGACAAUGGGCGGAAGCCUGAUGCAGCGACGCCGCGUGGGGGAUGACGGCCUUCGGGUUGUAAACUCCUUUCGACCGCGAGGAAGCCACCUGGUUGGAAGGGUGGUGACGGUAGUGGUAGAAGAAGCACCGGCUAACUACGUG
rnacentral:rRNA from 1 species